UACGUAGGGUGCGAGCGUUAAUCGGAAUUACUGGGCGUAAAGCGCGUGUAGGCGGUUGUUCAAGUCAGGUGUGAAAGCCUUGAGCUCAACUCAAGAAAUGCACUUGAUACUGGAUGACUAGAGGACCGGAGAGGAUAGUGGAAUUCCCAGUGUAGUGGUGAAAUACGUAGAGAUUGGGAAGAACACCAGUGGCGAAGGCGGCUAUCUGGACGGUUUCUGACGCUAAGACGCGAAAGCGUGGGGGAGCAAACAGG
rnacentral:rRNA from 1 species